GGGUUUAACUGGUCGCAUUGGUCGAAUACAGCCUUUACACGGCGGGGAUCCUGAGUUCGAAUCUCAGCGGGCCCA
rnacentral:tRNA from 1 species